rnacentral:rRNA from 1 species
AGAGAGAGACAUGCGCGCAUAUCAAUAAGCGGAGGAAAAGAAACUAACUAGGAUUCCCUUAGUAACGGCGAGUGAAGCGGGAAGAGCUCAAAUUUGAAAUCUUCAAGGUUUUACCUUGACGAAUUGUAGUUUAAAGAAGUGUUUUCUGCUGAAGUUUUGGUAAAAGUUCUUUGGAAUAGGACAUCAUAGAGGAGUGAGAAUCCCGUAUUUGACCAUUAUUUUCAGCUUUGUGAUACACUUUCAAAGAGUCGGAUUGUUUGGGAAUGCAGUCCAAAAUGGGUGGUAAAUUUCAUCUAAAGCUAAAUAUUGGCGAGAGACCGAUAGCGAACAAGUACCGUGAGGGAAAGAUGAAAAGAACUUUGAAAAGAGAGUUAAACAGUACGUGAAAUUGUCAAAAGGGAAGCGUUUGACACCAGUGUUGUUUUCUCGAAAAUCAAUUAAAAAUGGCUCGAUUUUGUAUUGCUUGAGACCUUAAAAGCUCACUGUACAUUUUCCGUGUCUUUUUUAAUGCACUUUUCGUUUAACAAGUCAACAUCAGUUUCUUUUGUUGUAAAAGGGUCAUUGGAAGGUGGCUUUCUUUUCGGAGAAAGUGUUUAUAGCCUUUGGCCUCUGCAAUCGGAGAGACUGAGGUCUGCAGCGUAGACUCUUCGGGGUUAGAUACAUUUGUGCUAAGUUAUAGCUUUUUAUAGACAACUUGUUGACUAUAAUUAGUCUUGUAGCUUACUCGCUUAUGCUAUUUUACCUACGCUUAGGAUGUUGAGUCGUAGAGCACGCAG